rnacentral:lncRNA from 1 species
CAAACCAACAUAGUGGAGGUGAAAGAAGAGCCAUCUGCAUGGACAGUGAGUCUGGGAUCCAGUGAGAGUCACAAUGGCCAAGCUAUCGGUAUCAGUCCCAGGGACUAUGGGUCUUUACAGCCCAACAAACAUCCUGGUCAUCUGCAAACACCUACCCUACAGCCCUCAGUUCACUCCAUCCAAAAUAUACAAACACACAGUAUGAUAGACCUGAAAUCAAAGGAGCAGGCAUAGCCCUGGCCUGUGAGAAAUGAUCCAGGUGUCCCCAGUAAAGUACACCCUGCCAAGGUCAGCUUGCCUUCAAAACACUGGAUGCAUACCUUCCAGAAUACAUGCCAAAACCCCGUAAAUACCCUGGGUUUAGGUGAUGACUCCAGGAGGAGACAUGAGAGAUGAGAGCGUAGAAACUGGAGAGAUAUGUGUCCCAAAGGAAAAACACGAAGUGAAAGAUUUCAAGGGGUCCCAUCCCAAUGAAGGGAAGCAAAUCACUAUAAGAUAUAGAGCUAUAAGCCAGGGAGAAAGGCUUCGAAGAGUAAGUCCUUGCAUCCCAAGCUGCACCCAGAUCAGGGACACAACCAAGACUUGGAUACCAGGGAAAGGGGAAGUUACUUCGAAGAGCUCUUGGAAUAAAAUCACAAAGAAUGCUUCAAAAU